CAGUGGGCUAUCAGCUGGACUCUAUCCAAAGAGAGCCUGUCUGCUCCACACUCAACAGUGCAAUAUUAGAAACUCACAACCUGCCCAAGCAGCCCCCCUUGGCUCAGGCGGUGGGCCAAGCUGCGCAGUGUUUGUCCCUCAUGGCGCGCACGGGCAUCGGCUCUUGCGCCUUCGCUUCAGUGGAUAACUACCUGCACUAACCUCUAGAGAACCCACCCUCAUCUGCCCCCCCCCACAUCCCUCUCGGUGAUGCAGUGAGACCCUUCCCCCUCCCCGUUAUCACCACCCACCAACACGACCCAAGCGGGGCCUGCCAGGGUGCUGAGCAGGGUCCCAGUGCAUUCUCUUAGCCGCCCCCCUUGCACCCACCAGGGCCCUGGCCCUCUCUGAAGACUGGAUCUGCUCUUCCUAGGCCACGUGAGACUUAUGGCACAUCAGGAUGAAGAUCCCUAAGCCAGAAAAAAAAAAAUCCCUAGAGAUCAUUACAUGGUUCUUCUUUUUUUUUUUUUCUUUGGCUUAUCUUUUUUAAUUUUAAAGCCUUUUAAUUUUUGGUUGAGGAUAUGUUAAAAUAUGGAUUGGGGGGUGGGGAGGCAAGCUCUGAUUGUUUGUUUCCUAGUUUACAAGGCAUGAUGCAAAUUAUGGUUAUAAUUAAUGUUAUUAUUAUUAUUAUUAAACUUGCAUAUGAAUAUAUAUUUGUUCUUGGUUGAAAGCUGGCCGAAUCAGCACGACCAACUAAUAAAGGUCCCAUCACAGUGAACCCUCGCUACUCACAAGUGUCAGCCUGUGUACAUGUCACUGAGUCCUGAGUGAAUCCCGAGUGAUCUUGCAUUAAUAAGAAGUGUGAAAUACUUUAGCAAUUUACAUAAAGAAAAUAAAAAGUUUCAACCCAUAAAGUAUAAUACUGCGGGAUUAGGUAUAUUAUGAGAUUGUAGGAGCUCCUCUUAUAAGGACAUUCCUGUGUGUAAACCUCCACUUCCCUUUGCCAACAGCUCAGCAGCUUUGAUGCAAUGUUUGGGCCGCAGAUUCUUUUAAACUGUGUGUUGUCUGUUUGCCCCCCCUUAUUCUUUUCAAUUUUCUCGCUUUGUUUUUCUCCUUUUAAGCCAGUCUCUUCGAUAACCUAUUGCUUUGUUUUUGCGAAGUAUGGCUGUAUAUCUGACGAGAAGUACAUCAUGUCCGGUCUGAAAGAGACUGUACCCUGUCAGCCAUUUUGAUUUCUUACUCAUACCCCUAUGCCUCUCAGUGCUGUGCUUUAAAAAGUAAUGACUUUGGAGACUGGCUCAGUAUUGUCAACAGCACUGUCUUAAAAUUUACAAUAAAAUUACCCCACCCAGGAGGACCGUG